ensembl:lncRNA MIR9-3HG MIR9-3 host gene
AGUGCGUGGGGGUCCCGGCCCCACACAGUGCUAGGGUCCCUCUCGAGUUUCUCAUCUGCCUUCAGGUCACUUUCCACCCUGAUGCCUUGGCUUGUCCUGAAGCUCAGGGCCCCUGUAGCUUGGGAAACCUCCCAAGCUCCCCAGCGAGUGGCUGUAGACCAAGGAAGGGACCCUGCCCGGCUUCAGGGAAGAAAGGAAGAAAGUUACUCCCCUGCUGGUGCCUCCCUCCUUGGCGCGCUUCCCACCUGCGAUCGGCGCCCUCUUCGCAGUCACGAACUCGCCAGCAGCUAGCAGCACUGACUAGUAGGAGGGCCCGCCGGAGGAGAGCCGCGCGGCCCACAGAAGCGGAACGCGCGUCGAGAGCGCCCUGUCCGCUCGCCCCAGACAGAUGCCCGGUUAUUCAUUACCGCGAGGCCUAGAGGAAAGAGUGGCUGCCGUCUUCCUGCCCACAGCCCGCCGGACCCUCCGUCGCGGCUGCCCGGUCCCCGGAGCCGCAGCCGCCGAGCCCGGCUGUGCGUGUCGUGGCUGCUGGGGAGAAAGAGGCUUCCGGACAUGCUCUGGAGUCAGAAGACAGCG